rnacentral:rRNA from 1 species
UAGGGAGCGUAGGCGGAUGCUUAAGUCAGUUGUGAAAGUUUGCGGCUCAACCGUAAAAUUGCCGUUGAUACUGGGUGUCUUGAGUGCAGUAGAGGCAGGCGGAAUUCGUGGUGUAGCGGUGAAAUGCUUAGAUAUCACGAAGAACUCCGAUUGCGAAGGCAGCUUGCUGGACUGUAACUGACGCUGAUGCUCGAAAGUGUGGGUAUCAAACAGA